GUAUUGGAAGGGCUCGUCGCCAG
rnacentral:piRNA from 1 species